rnacentral:rRNA from 1 species
UACGUAGGUGGCAAGCGUUGUCCGGAUUUAUUGGGUUUAAAGGGUGCGUAGGUGGUCUAUUAAGUCAGUGCUGAAAUAUCCCGGCUUAACCGGGAGGGUGGCAUUGAUACUGAUGGACUUGAGUAAAGUUGAGGUUGGCGGAAUUGACGGUGUAGCGGUGAAAUGCGUAGAGAUGUGGAGGAACACCAGUGGCGAAGGCGGCUUUCUGGUCUGUAACUGACGCUGAGGCGCGAAAGCGUGGGGAGCAAACAGG